CAGGGAGACAAAAACUGAUUGUGAUGCUUGAGUUAUUUAUUCUUAGGCCACGAUCCUGUCACCUUAGGUCGAUCGGUACCUCAAGUUGAAUAUGGAGAGAUAGGUGAGAAAUUGCCUGCUUCAUUUAUCAACUUCAGUUCCUAAACUUGUCUAGGUCACACCCAACAAGGGUACUCCUGGGCCAUUAGCUCAGGUGGUUAGAGCGCACCCCUGAUAAGGGUGAGGUCCCUGGUUCAAGUCCAGGAUGGCCCAUUCGGUGUUGGGGGUAUAGCUCAGUUGGUAGAGCGCCUGCUUUGCAAGCAGGAUGUCAGCGGUUCGAGUCCGCUUACCUCCACUGAUUGAUAUAAAACCUCCUUACAACGAAGCUCGAGGAGUGUACUUUGUUUGAUGUGAUUUAGAAUCAGUUUGACUGAAGCGACCCUAGCUUCCUGUCAUUCCUGUAUUUAUGCUUUUUAGUUAAAUCAGGUUGAAAGGACGCUGGGCUCACUACAAACAAUUUGGUUUGUAGGAUUGUUCAGUAGAACCUUGACAACUGCAUAGGUGAGUCUGGAAAGAAUAAAGCAUCUCAUGGAUCAAUUAUUCAUGAUUUGAUUUAUUGCUUUGUCGAUAGAUCUAAUCGAUUAAAUGAAUAUGACAAUUCUUGAGUCAAAAGCCGAGAAUCUACAAAUAUAUUGUUGAAAAAUACAAUCUUAUUUGUAGAGAUUAAUU
rnacentral:tRNA from 1 species